AGAUUGAACGCUGGCGGCAUGCCUAACACAUGCAAGUCGAACGGGAGUAGCAAUACUCUAGUGGCGGACGGGUGGGGAAUACGUAGGAAUUUGCCCUUAAGUGGGGGAUAACCCGGGGAAACCCGGAUUAAUACCGCAUGACCUCGAAAGAGCAAAGUGGGGGAUCGCAAGACCUCACGCUUUUGGAGAAGCCUACGUCGGAUUAGCUAGUUGGUGAGGUAAUGGCUCACCAAGGCGACGAUCCGUAACUGGUCUGAGAGGAUGAUCAGUCACACCGGAACUGAGACACGGGUCCGAUCCUACGGGAGCAGCAGUGGGAAUAUGGACAAGUGGGACGCAAGCCUGAUCCAGACAAUGGCCCGCGUUGUGUACGAAGAAGGCC
rnacentral:rRNA from 1 species